rnacentral:rRNA from 1 species
CUACGGGAGGCAGCAGUGAGGAAUAUUGCACAAUGGGGGAAACCCUGAUGCAGCGACGCCGCGUGGGUGAUGAAGGUUUUCGGAUCGUAAAGCCCUUUUCUGCAUGACGAGCAAAGGACGGUAGUGCAGGAAUAAGUGUCGGCUAACUACGUGCCAGCAGCCGCGGUAAAACGUAGGACACAAGCGUUAUCCGGAAUUACUGGGCGUAAAGGGAGUGCAGGCGGUUGCGUAAGUUAGGCGUGAAAGACUUCGGCUAAACCGGGGGAGGUCGUCUGAUACUGCGCAACUAGAGUAUGGUAGAGGCGUGUAGAAUUCCGGGUGUAGUGGUGAAAUGCGUAGAGAUCCGGAGGAAUACCAGUGGCGAAGGCGGCACGCUGGGCCAUAACUGACGCUAAGACUCGAAAGCAUGGGUAGCGAACGGGAUUAGAUACCCUUGUAGUCC